rnacentral:lncRNA from 1 species
GAGCGCGCCAAGCUAGCGCGGGCGCCCCUCCCCUGUCACGCCUCGGCCUCCCCGCCGGCCCUGCGGCAGGGGGAUGCUCGCCUGACCCCACCUCCGGCUCCUCCUCAGGCACCAGGCCGGGCGGUGGCCGCCUCCAGCUCACCACCUCCGAGGCCGCACUUCCGGGCAGCGACGCCGGCGGAACUGAAGUCCGCAGAUGCCGCGACGCGGCGAACCACUCGGUCAGAGCACGUUUCCGGCGUUUCCAUGGAGACUAGUCGCCGCCGCCAGGUCGCACUUCCGGCCAAAGUCGCAGGGGGCCGGGGCAACCACGCAGUUUCGCCCUAGCGACGGGGCGGGGGCGGGGCCUGCGCUGUCAAUCUGUAGGCCACGCUCCUCGCAUGUGCUGUCGGGCGGGAGAAGAUGAGGACACCCAAGGCCUCCACCUAUGUGGGCCUGGGGGCUGCGAGUGGAAUGUGGGAACAGACGGGCACCACCUUGCCUUGGCCCAGGGAGAAGGUGAGGCACCCGGACUCCAUGCCCCUACAGGAGGCGCACCUGCCCCAGGGAGGGGUGUGAGGAGGGACUGUUCAGAGUGCUUUCAGCAGGCCAC